AAUUCAUACAUUGGAUCUUUUCGAAGUUAUUCUUUAAAUCGUUCCCAAGCUUCAUAUAGUGUUUCAUCCUUCGAUUGUAGAAAAGAUGUGAUGUCAUUUCUAAGCUU
rnacentral:snoRNA from 1 species